UUUCCAAAAUACUCUUGACAUCCAGAAAAAUCUAUCAUACGUGGUUCCCGGUUGACUUUGUACCCCUCGCUGAUCCUGCUGCUUUAUGGUAGUUCAGGUUCACAUGCAGAAGUACUGGCUGAGCUCUCCUUCCCUAACACAGAUUUAAAUAUAGUGUGUAGUAGAAUAUAUGUUUCUUCUCUGCUGAAGGAGAUGGGUUCAGAUUGAUCUAAAUACACAGUCAUGUAUGUGUUUUACAGGCAGCCAAUCCUUUCUUUAAGUUGUUGACUAUGCUAAUGGAGUUUGCUGGUGGACCUCCAGGAAUGCCUCCCUUUGCAUCUUAUAUUCUGCAGAGGAUAUGGGAGGUGAUUGAAUACAAUCCUUCUCAGUGUCUAGAUUGGUUGGCAGUGCAGACACCCCGAAAUAAACUGGCACACAGCUGGGUCUUACAGAAUAUGGAAAACUGGGUCGAGCGGUUUCUUUUGGCUCACAAUUAUCCUAGAGUGAGGACUUCUGCAGCUUAUCUUCUGGUGUCCCUUAUACCAAGCAAUUCAUUCCGUCAGAUGUUCCGGUCAACAAGG
rnacentral:lncRNA from 1 species